ACAUUAAGCACAAUAGUUUUGUGCAUAUUCCCUGUGGAAUAUAACCUCUAAACCAAUCCUAGAUUUCGAUAAAGGUUCAGUCUGAGAGAUCCUAUCAUAAAACUAUUGUGUGUACGCCUCGGACUUAAUAACGCGACUUCAUACAUCAUUUUUCAUUUGGAUUGUGCAUUAGAUUUAUUUAACACAGAUCUUUGCGGUUGUGCUCUGUAGAUUUAUUUAAUCGCAACCUCGUAAAUUAUUUGUAUUAAAGAUGCGUACACGAGUUAAUUAUAUAUGGAGUCAAACAAUAAGGUUAUCAAGGACAAGUGAAUUUGGGAUCUAAAGAUAAUGGAAGGGUUUAGUAUUCUUUUAUUCUUCUCCUGACUUCUAAAGGUAAGGGAUUAAUAACGGGUCUAGCUAUGUAACCUAUGUUGAUCAAAAUCACGAAAAAAUGAUAUUUAAACUGAGAUGAUUAAUAAAGAAGAAACCAAGAGUCAUUAUUAUCAUAAGCUAUGUGCAUGUCCUAAAUUAAAUCUUCGCAUCUCCCAAUAUUAUCACCCCUAACUAGGACUACUUGUCGUGUGUGUACGUUGAAAAACGGAGUAAGACAUUGUUUAUUUCAUGUAUUUAUUGUAUAAUUUUUUAUUUUUUUGUGCAACAUAUUUAUUGUAUGAUUAUGAUGCAUUAAGACUUUUAACAAAAAAAAAAAAAAUGAUGCAUUAAGACAUUGUUUAUGCGUCAUAUAUUUAAGAUAAACAUUGCAUUGUUUAUAUUUUAGUUACGGUGUUUCCGAGCGGCCAAGACCCAAGAAACACUCUUUUCUUGGAAUUUUUUUGUGUUAUGAAUAGUCUAUUUAUAUAUAGAUAUCACAUAUUCACAUUCAUCAAUAUUUGUUCUUAAACUUGCAAAACACUAGCAAAAUAAUAGAACAAAUUUAUAGUUUUUUAAAUCAUAAAUUAGAAAUUCAUAAAAAUCUUAACGUCUGUGUUUUCAAUAAUUUCCUAAAUAGUUUUUCUUUGCUGAUUUAUUUAUUUCGUUACUAUCCUAAAAAAAAUAUGCAUCUAAGUUUUAUUUGAACACUGUCAACACACGCAAACAUUAGAUUCUGUAGCCUAUAGUCUCCGCUUAAAAAGGAUCAUUUUGACUUUUGCUUAGCAUAUAGAAUUUGACUAUAAAAUGUACGAAAAUACUACAAAUUCUGGACAGUACUUUUUAUGCCUUAAACAAAAAAAAAACAACUAAUUCUUAGCAAAAAAAAAAAAAAAAAACUAAUUAAAUAUACGCUUUAUUUUGUUACACAUAUUAACCAUUAACUAGUACAAGUAAUAAAAUUUUCGUUGUAAUAUUUAACAAGGCGCAGAUGAUGUAUUGUUUUAUCGAGACUGAAAAUACAAAUAAAUUAUUCACACAUUCGAAAUAAAAUAAAAAUAUUGAAAAAAAUAAAAUGAAAGAGAUGCUCGCAUUAAUUGAAUGGAACAGAGUCUACUGUUGAUUAAAAAAGAACGAUCGAACAGUCCAUUUUUUGGGGUCCAGUUUAUUUAAUUUAGCAUUAAUAACUUUGUCAGCGCGAGCCACUCUCUAUGAUUUUGAUUCCAUCAUAAAUUAUAAAACCAACCAAAAUUCAUAUCAAAAUUAAUUCCUUUAACCCAUUACUAAGCUUUGCUUGUAAAUAUAUGAGACCUGUAUAUAUUCGAUUUAUUGAAAGUGUCUAAGAAUUCAGAUUCACUUUGAAUAUUACCUUUCACGUAAUGCAUGUAUGUAGGAUCUUCUGUCAUUGUCUUAUAUAUUGUCUUUUUGCAUCAUAAAAAUAGAUUGACUUUUUACAUAUACGCACAUAAAUAAUAGAUUUCCAUUAUUUGAAUUCACAUCUUACAUAUAUAUAUACGUGUUUAAGUUAGAUUAUAAUUCAGUAGUUUCGGAUUUUUUAGCUAUGUUCCAUCAACCAAUCAGUUUGAUUUGGUUAGAUAAAAUUAACAAAAAAAAACACAAGAAAAUUAUCAAAGUAUGAAAAUGUAAGCACAAAUGUAAUUAAAAUUCGUUUUUACGUUUUAAACAGUCAAAAAGUAACUAAAAUACAACUUGUUCGUUAACAAAUGGUUUUUGCAUGAGAGAUAUAUGCAAACUAUUUAAUUAACUUAAUUUUUUUCCAUUAGAAUUAAAUUUUUAAUUAUUAGGACAUUGAAAUUAAAUUCCGUUAAAAUUAUUGACCACGUGUAUGGUCAUAAAAAAUUCUGAAUUCAUGAUUCGAUCAAUAUUACGACCUACUACAUACGAUAUGGUGUAAUUAACCACAUUCUCUUGCUAUUUAUCACAUUAAAAGUUAUAUAAUUUAUUCAUUAUUUACUCCACCACUAUUUUCCACGUUCUAUGGAUGAUCAUAGAUUCAUAGUGGAGCCACGCAUGAACAUGGCAAAAAUAGAAAUAUGCACAUGGCCAUAUAUACAUUAUCGACGUAUGUGUCAUUCAGGCCAAUCCAACUUUGUUGUGGUUCUUUCGUCCUCCUUUGACUUAAUUUAUUGACAAAAAGAAAUUACAUAUGAUUUAGGAUAAAUCAUAUGUUAUCCUUAAUCUUAAAUCAUUAACUAGCAAAAUUUUACUCAAUUUUAAUCAUAAAAGCAACUUUAUAAGAUAAUUAACACAUAUUUUCCAAUGAACAGUCCACAUAUAUAUUACUUAUGGUGGAGUUCGAUGUUUUUUUUUUUUUUUUUGACAUCUUUGAAUCGAUAAGGCCCGAUCUAUAGCCAAUCCUUACUAUGCGGGGUAACGCAACUUACUGGAGUCGAACUCCGUGGAGAAGGCGGAGUCAAGUGGACGUAACCACUUGACUAAAAGCACAUCCUCGUGGAGUUCGAUGUUUAAUGUAAUUAAAAUAAAAAUAUCGAUCAUAAUUAUAUAUGAUAAAAUUUUGAAAUCCAACAUCUGUAAACUAUAAUGCAUUAAAUAGAUAAUAUUUAUCUGAAUAGACUAGAUAAGAUUAGGCAUACUAGCUGAAAUGCUGGUAAGAUGGUGAAAAGGUUGAUGGAUAUCCGAUCCAGUUGGUCCGGGCCUUCGAUAUUUGGGCUUAAAUGGGCCGAAACUAAAUUGGGUCGAAUAUAAAAAGUUGAAAUAUCUCCAAACAUAAUUUUGGAUGGGAAAAAGCGGGAAGUCGAGAGAGUACCUUAUUUAUAAUUUUCUAUAACGAGGGUAGGGCCCACCAAGACCAUAUUAGCGUAAAGCAAAAUCAAACAAUUAGGAAAAAAACAUUUUUUCGAAAUUCGAACCGUAAUUAGCCUUUGUUUUUCUCGGAAUCUAAAAGGAAAAAAAAAAUAGAGAGAAAAAAAAGGAGGAACAGUGAGCAAAAUCGUGCGACUGGGAAAAUUUUCGAAUUUUUCUUCUCUUCCGGCGAGGGAUUCAAACUUCCGCCUCCAAUUUCUCGCCGUGAAUCUGAGUUUUCUUCGUGGAAUUUCAAUAAAAUCAGUCGUCAUUCUCCGGCUUCUUGACUCUCGAGAGGUUUAUCUACAAGCUUCUUCUCCUCAUGGCCUUUUAGGUUCGUAUCGUUUAUUUUUUUUGCCGUCGUCUAUGUGUUACAAAAGCGUAGAUGGUUUCUUAGGGUUUUUUUACUGGAUCUGCGUAAUUUUGGUGGAAUUUAAGCUGAAUGUAUGGGUUGAUUUGGUCGACUUUUUGGUUAUUUGCUAAGCGAGAUGUUGAAAUGUGGGAACAAACGACAUCAUUGUUGAAGCAAUUUUGGGCUGUUUGUCUCUCUAAUUGGAGGACUAGUCUUAUCUGAAAUUGAAAGCAUUUGAUUGGCAUUUUAUCAUAGGAGGGUUUGGUGUCGAAUGAUGAAGUAAGGUCUUUCAUGAUUUACCAUGGAUUAAGAAGUGUAUGUGAAGACAUUUAAUACUGAUGCUUACUUUUGUUAUUGGCUUACUGCUUCAUUUGCUUUAGGGUCUUCUCACUACUAUAAUUCUGGGAAUCGCGUAACCUCUGAGUUGAAAUGAGCAGUCAUCUGGGACAGGACGCCAAUAUGAAUGGGGUCUAUGUUCGAUCAGAUGUGUCUAGCAUGCUGAGUUUUGACGGAUCAGAUAGUCGUGAAAGCGAUGAUAGUAAGAAAGGUAAUCUUUUCAAACGCUAAUUCAUAGAAAUCCUCUAAUUUUAUCUUAAGAUUGAAACAAGUUUUUGGAAACAGUUGUCUUUCAGAACUUUAGAGUUAUGACAGAAUUAUACAAGCGAAUAUGGAAAAGUAUGAUUGAUUAUCUUGAAUGAGUCGUUUCUCUUGCUUGAUAUGGUUUGUAAUAUUCCAACUGAGCUUUAGCAGAAAUGAUUGCCUCUCAUAUUAGGUGUAGGGGGAAAUGGGAUGAUGUUUUUUGUCCUCACUAUUUGUCUAUUUCUUCUUAAUUUCGCCCACAGGUCAUCAGAGUUUGGUGGAGUGGUUAAAUGAGACACUUCCUUAUCUGAAGUUACCAUGGGAAGCUUCAGAGGACGAACUGAGAGCAUGCUUGAGGGAUGGAACGGUCUUGUGUAGCCUUUUAAAUCAGCUUAGUCCUGGGUCAAUGAGAAUGGUACUUGUGAAUUUUCAUGACCAUUUGGCUUAUAUAUCUUUUGUUUUAAAAGCCUUUAGUUAUGUGUCAUUUUUCACUUACUUAUCUGCUGCUAGACUCACCCUCUUUGGUUAUUCUAUAGGGAGGCAGCUUUGAGCCUGCUAGUGUAAAAAUUGAGCGGUUUCUGACUGCUAUGGAUGAAAUGGCCCUGCCUAGGUUCGAAGUUUCAGACAUAGAACAGGUUUGUUAUGUUUCAUGGAUAUGAUUCUUCGUUUCUGUGGAAAAAAUUGAUUUCUUAAAUAUGGAAAGACAUGUUGGUUUAUAUAGAAUUAUCCCAUGUCAUAUAGAUAAAGUGGUUCUAGGGUUGCCACUUUUGCUUUAAUGACUCGAACCAAUUCAGUGUAGGUAUAUAUUUAUGUUAAAAUCAGCCUCGUUUUAGAUACUUCUGGCCUUCUGGGUGCAACACUUUUUCUAAUCAUGGCUAUUUUCUGAUUUGCUAUUUUGAUGAUACGAUUGCAUAUCUUUUCUUCUCUCUGUCUUUUUUUGUAUUUCUCUAUUGAGUUAUGACUCCUAAUAAAAAGUAAAAAGCAGGGAGAUAUGGUGCCAGUUUUACAGUCCCUUAAGGCGCUUAAAGCAAGUUUUUCCGAUGGUAGUUAUGAUAAGAACUCCCUAGCUGCAAGGAGGAGGUGGAGCUUGCCAGAGGACCACUCAGAUUCAAGAGGAGAUGACCGCAACUUUACUGAUGGAUUCCAGUCGAAGGAAGGAUCUGAGAUUGAUAUAUCUGAUGCUAAAAUUUCGGAAUUACUUAAAUCAAACAGUUUACGAGUAAAGUUUUCUAACAUAAUUUUAGUCAAUUGUGUCCAACCUCUCAGCUAUUGCCUCGGUUUCUGAUUCAAAUGGCAUUUCCUUGGCAGAAUGCUCCUACUAGGUCACUGUUUGACAUGCUGGACAAGCUUCUAGAUAAGAGUAUGACGAAGAUGAAUGGACAUGUGUCUCAUGUAAGCCAAAGACGGAGCUACUCAUAGCACCCUUCUCUUGAUUCAUGUUUUCUGGGUUUGCCUAGAUUUUCAUUCCUUGGUUCAUGGAAUAUCACUUCUUAUUCUCCAUCAUGUUUCUCACUGUUUUCGUGUGUUGUUCAGGCUAUGGCAUCUCUCUUGAGCGCACUUGUGCAAGUGAUUGAACAGAGAAUCUCAAAUCAAGCUGAUAACCUAAAGAAUGUAAGAUUACCAAAUUCCUUUCUUCCUUGAUUUUUCCCGUAAUGUAUAUCAUCCUUCUGACUAAGUCAUGAAAUAUGCUUAUGGAAUGGGUGCAGCAAAAUAUACUCUUUCGGGUACGUGAAGAAAAAUACAGGUCAAGAAUAAAGGUCUUAGAAACCUUGGCAGCUGGGACAACACAGGAAAACGAGGUACUAUUGUCUCUGGUUCCAAUGUUUCUCUUCAUUUUAUUUCUGUUUCGCUUACGGAAUACUGAUUGGUAUUGCUAUUUUUUGUUGUAGAUUGUUACGAACUGUAUGGAGCAUAUAAAGGUAAUUGAUAUUAAUAUACAUCUCCUUCAUACAUAUUUCGCUUUUAGUUUUGUUCUUGCAUCUGGAAAAGUUAGUUUACAUUAAGCACAAUAGUUUUGUGCAUAUUACCUGUGGAAUAUAACCUCUAAACCAAUCCUAGAUUUCGAUAAAGGUUCAGUCUGAGAGAUCCUAUCAUAAAACUAUUGUGUGUACGCCUCGGACUUAAUAACGCGACUUCAUACAUCAUUUUUCAUUUGGAUUGUGCAUUAGAUUUAUUUAACACAGAUCUUUGCGGUUGUGCUCUGU
rnacentral:lncRNA from 1 species